rnacentral:rRNA from 1 species
GCCUGUCUCAGUUCGGAUUGGAGGCUGAAACCCGCCUCCAUGAAGUUGGAUUCGCUAGUAAUCGCGCAUCAGCCAUGGCGCGGUGAAUACGUUCCCGGGCCUUGUACACACCGCCCGUCAAGCCAUAGGAGCCGGGGGUGCCUGAAGUUCGUGACCGCAAGGAGCGACCUAGGGCAAAACUGGUGACUGGGGCUAAGUCGUAACAAGGUACC